rnacentral:sRNA from 1 species
UUAUAGGUGCGUUAGGGAUUGGAACGGCAUCCUUUUUUGUGCCUCGGAAAAUGUGUAAGGGGAACAAAAAAGAUAUAGUGAAAAGCCCGACCCAUC